CAUCUCAUCCAGAAGCAGGUUCAGAGCAAGACUGUGGCACAGUGUGUGGAGUACUACUACACCUGGAAGAAAGAACAUAAACUUGCCAAAAGUCUUGCUCAGACUGUGAGCGAACCAAAGAGGAGCCAAAGCCCUCCCAGAAAGGAGAACGGGAAGACAGGGAAGAGAAGCCGCAAGAGGGCCCGCAACGCGGAGUGUCCCUGCUGCCAAGCGCCCCAGCCACCCCAUUCGGCGGGAGGCCCCUUUCCCUGCGGCCAGUGCAAACGGGUGUUUGAAACCGUGCAGGAAAGGAACGCACAUAGGAGAAGACAUCGCGCACGGAAGGAAGCAGGGCCUCUCCCCAAGAAGAAAA